rnacentral:lncRNA from 1 species
CGAACCUCCUCUUCGAUAGUGAAAUUGAGAAGACCGCGAAGAAGCUAAGGAAGGAGGCAAAGGCAAGGAAGCUACUGGAUCUGCUGGAUUCGCAGUCUGACCUUCCCGUUCGACCAGAACAGUUCGUCGAGGAGAAGCCCAGUACUGUUGCUGCUACAGAGGUUCUGUUUGCCCAAACAGACCACGACUCAGAGACAGAAUCAGACUGUGAAGAAGAAACCGACUCAAUUUCGGUUGCAAGUACAGAGAGCGAC